CUAUCGACGAAAACGGACCAAGUUUAUUUGGUUUAGUUUAGUUUGAGGAAACUGCUGAAGAAUGUGUUGCUUUGAAUUACCGAGAUGUAGUACUUUAUGAGUUAUGAAAAUUUGAUCAGUGUUCUGAUCAAAUUUUCAUAAAACCAGGUGGUGUGAUGUAACGUUUUGACGUUUUUAUCUUUUUAAGCAAAAUAAAUCUUCUUUGAGUUUAAUUGAAUUAGCCAUUCAGUAUAGAUAUUUUGCUUAAAUUUGUAUUAAAUUGAAAAACGUUUGACGUUUUUCUCCUUUUAAGUAAAAUGCCGUUUUGGAUUCGCUUAUUUUGGAACAAACGUUUGCUUGACCAUGAGAUAAUUUUAGGUUAGAUUCGAAAUCAUCAUUCGUAUUGACUUUGCCUGUAUGCAUUAAGAACUAGAUGUAAUUUUGUUUUGGUUUGUGUCACGGCUAAGAUGCCAUAAUGACGAUGUGAGUGCAGUAAUGGCUCCUGAAUAUAUGUAUCUCAUGUAAACCAUCUUGACGAACCUAGGGAGACGCCAAAAAAAGAUUAUCGCCAUUCGAAUUCGUUCGUUGGCGCGAUAAUUGAGAUAAUAGGGGAAUUGUUUAGUGAAUGUUAUUUAAGGGAAGUUUGACUAAAGCUCGUUCUUAUUCGUUCGCUACAAGGCUGGACUGUAGAAGUUAUCGCGGUUUUCUAGUUACGACGUUAGUGAAACUUUUAAUAGUGAUUUUGUGCCCUUCGUCUGCGUACCGAAGGUGAAUUUUGUGUGAAAUGGUGAAUUCGUGUAAAUUGUUUAAAACGUUUGUGUUCUUUUUUUUUGAAAUUUAGUAAAACUGUACGUGUUUCCGGUCUGCAAGACCGUGGUUUUCGCGAUCCUUCUACGUCGAUCGUUGGAUUUGUACAAAAAAAGCGCUUAGGCGCUUUUUUUUAUUGUACGGGCUGGUUCAGCAAAUUCUUUCGUGACAAGCGGAGUCACACUGGGGUUUCCCGUGGCGGUUUCCCGCCACCGUUAUUCGUCCUACGAGUCCGGACGGUUUUUUUGAGCUCGGGAGUCCGCUAAGGCCCGCCUUUUAAAAGGUAGUUAAACGGAGGGAGGUGAAGUCGUUAGUCAUCGAACGAAGACCUCCGACGGCCGCCAAUUACCGUCGUUUACGUCCACCUCACGCUACAACCCCCCCGGUGGACAGAGUACCGAGAGCACGGUCCGCGUGCGUUGUCAAGGGUCGCGCGUAGGACCGGACCCUAUCCGAAGGCGAAGGGUUUCAUUUCAUCGCGCGCGGUAGAGCCCACCGAGGGUGAAGCCGUGCGAAGGGUACGUUGGCCCCGGUCCCUAGGAGAA